rnacentral:lncRNA from 10 species
UAAUGUGCUCUGACGAUGAACUGGGCUUUGCCUUUUGACUUGCGUUGGCCAAUGGGACACAGGCAAAUGUCAUGCAAAUACAGAUUCAAAAAGUAUUUGCCUAAUGGUGCUUGUCUUCUUGGACACAGUCAAAUUGUGAAGAAUCUUGGGGCUACCUGCUGGAAACACAGUGCCUAACAGAGAGCCAGCACAAAUCACAAGACAUGUGAGUAAAGCCAUCUUAAGCCAACCAGCCUCAGUCAAGGCACCAGGUGACUCAACUGUCACUCGUGAUCCAAGCAACACUAACAUAGAAUAUGAACUGCCCAGAUGAACCCACCACAAAAUACAGAUCCAUAGAAGCUUGAACAAAGAAAAUGGUGGUGGUUUUUUAAGCCACUAAGGUCUGAUUACUUUCUUAUAAAGCAAAUGCUAACUGAUACAUCUAAGCCGCCAGAACUUGAUAUAUAUCUAAGAAAAUUAUGUGGGGAAGAAAGUUUUAAUGUGUAUGUCAAAUACAAUCAACACCACUUUGGAAGCACACAAAGAAAUUUUGAAAAUCACAAUGAAUAUCAAAUGGAUGGAAUUCAGUGAGGUAGGUGGCUGGUGCUAAUAGAGACCGUGUGAAUCAUACAAAGCAACUGUUUGCACAUCAGAAAGCCGUCUAUGUUUUAAAGUUUUUACAUCAUAAAAAAGUUUGUUUACUUUAAAAAACACAAAACAUAAAAAGAGUCUGUUACAAGGGAGCAUUGUACUUCAUUUUAUUAAAUUUUAAGAAAUAGGUUUGGAGAAGCAGUAUGACAGUCUAAUUUUCCCAUAUUAAUGUCAAAUAAUCUCCCAUUAUUUUCAUGCAGAAUUUAUGAUUUUUAAGAACAUAUUACUGACAUUAAGUGGGAAACACUUGUGUUUCCUCAAAUGAAACUCUUUGAAGUCACAUAAUCCAUAGAAAGUGUUGGGGAUAAAAAAGGAUAGGGAUGUUUAAGGCAAAAUAUUUUAAAGCAAUGUUUGUUCUAUGCUGUCAGUGUUGCAAAAAUAAUCUCAAAAGUAAACAAACACGGCCGGGUGCAGUGGCUCACGCCUGUAAUCCCAGCACUAUGGGAGGCCGAAGUGGGCGGAUCACAAGGUCCGAAGAUCGAGACCAUCCUGGCUAAUACGGUGAAACCUCAUCUCUACUAAAAAUACAGAAAAUUAGCCAGGCAUGGUGGCGAGCGCCUGUAGUCCCAGAUAGGAGGCUGAGGCAGGAGAAUGCCAUGAACCCGGGAGGCAGAACUUGCAGUGAGCCGAGAUCUCACCACUGCACUCCAGCCUGGGUGACAGAGCGAGACUCCGUCUCAAAAAAAAAAAAAAAGUAAACAAACACUUGUUUUGACUUGUGGCAAAAUGAGUAACACCAGCCAAAAGGUCGGGAUGCCUAACAUCUACAGAUCAAGUGAUCUUGGGCAAGUAAAUAACUUCUCAAAUCCAAUUGCUCCAUCUAACGUAGAAAUACCUCGGCAAACUUCCUGAACUACCAGGAAGAACUAUUAGGACAGAGGGAGCAUCAACAUAUCUGUAGAUACCAAAUUUCGUGCUAGACUAUGUUUAAGACAGCUCAGACACGGGACAAUUAGGGGAGAUUGAAGGAAUGGGACGACUGUUUAGGGAGCACUGUCUACGGUAGGACAGGUCAUUCCUACACCCCAGAUGACACCUUCAAGCUCCCUCCUAUAAGCAACAUUUCCUAGGCCCCUGCCUAGUCUUCUCAAACUCACCUCUCCUUUCUGAAAGUUGGCCUAAACCUUCCAAAAGCACCAGUUGUUAAUAGCUAUUGAAUGAGCUAUUAUCAAUCAAAUACCGUGCAUUCUAGGGAGUAGGAUCAAUAACUGCUUGGGUCAUGCAAAACUAGGAUCUAUGCCUUUCUGUGAUUCUGCUCUGAAGCUCCAGUGAGAAGGUUCAGGCCAGAAGGGUGCUCUUUCAGAGGGGAGUCCUAUUUUCUGCUUCCAAGUGUGGAACGCCUAAUUUAUUGCAAAGACAACUGGGCCAUCACCCAGCACCCCAUCUUCCUCGUGGAACUCGUCCCUGGAAAACAGGCCGGGGUUGCCCUCUAUGCUGCCUAGAGGGCCUGCCUGCCGGGGCUGCCCGCUGUACGUCCUUCAGGCCUGGCUGGGAGGCUCAGCUGGCCCCGGGGCCCGCAUGCCGGGCCUGUCCACUGUCCUGCCUUCAGGGCUCGCCAGCCUGGGCUGCCCGCGGUCCUGUCUGCAGGGGCCGCCUGCCGGGAUUGCCCGCUCUCCUGCCUGCAGGCGCUGCUGGGAGGCUCAGCUGGCCCCGGGGCCUGCCUGCUGUCCUGCCUGCAUGGACCACCAGGCUGAGCUGCCCGCUGUCCUGCCUGCAGGGCCCGCCUGCCGGGGCUGCCCGCUGUGCAGCCUGCAAGGCCCACCUUCCGGGGUUGCCCUCUAAGCUGCCUACAGUGCCCGCCUGCCGGGGCUGCCUUCCGGGAUUGCCCGCUCUCCUGCCUGCAGGCCCUGCUGGGAGGCUCAGCUGGCUCAGCCUGCAGGGCCGGCCUGCCGGGGCUGCCCGCUGUCAACAAGAGGAGCUUAGUACUCCACACAAUGACUUAGGAACCUGUGCUGGUGGUGGCACUGGCAUCUUACAGCUGCUCCAUCUGGAGAAGGUUCCAGGUGAUUCCAGCUCUUCAUAUAGCUGCUGCCUCACAGAAUUAGGAUGAGUAGUGGGAAGAACUGAGUGUGGGAAUGAAGCAGAUGGGACAGAGUCCAAGAACCCAAAAGCAAGGAGGAAGAGACAGUACCGGGGCAUGAAUAGCCUUGGAGGGUUCCUGACGCCAGCCUGCAGUUCCUGGAGCUCCAGCACCUCAUCCACAACAUUUGCGAAUGGACAAGGCAGGAGUGAGGAAGAAAGGUUUCAUCUUCAGAGAAGAGGUAUCAGUAGUGUAGGGGUGAAGGUGAUGGAAGAAACGGUUGUGGAACAAAAGGAAUAGAAAGCUCCCGGCAAGGAUGGAGGCAGCACUGUUUGUUGGACAACUGAAUUGGCCCAGGUGGCCCCUGCACUCUCAGGUACCUGAGACUCCACCCGCCUUGCCUUACUGUCCACAUUUACUCAUGGUGACAACCCCCGCCCCCAAAUUUCAUUUGAAUGACAUGCGCAGGUGCAUUUGCACUGAGAUCUUUAUUCUAGGCCUGGGGCCUUGGAGCAGUGGGCAAUUGCAACACAGGACAGAGAAGAGAGUAUUGUUUGUGUCCCUGUGAUCAGACACAUGCACACACUACACACACACACACACACACACACACACACACACACACAAGGACACGGGCACAGACAUGGGUAGUAAUGAGACCUAUUAAGUAUUUUCCCCUCCAGUAGGCAGAUGUGCAUGAUACAUAAAUUACAAAUAAGAGGAACCUUGUGAACACAUUUCAAAGGCAAGAUGAGUGAAUAUCGGUGACUUGUGGUUUUCAUGUAUUUUAUAAUUCAGUUCUUGGUAUAAAAUAUAUUUUAUAUUCCAACCUCGUAUACACCUAUACACUCUUGAAAAAUCGAAAGAAGAGUUUCACUGAAGAAAACUUAAUUUCACAAGGUGUGAUACUCUCUGAUGUUUUAUUUUACAUCAUAUACUAGUUCAAUUAAAAAAUAAAUUCAUUAAGCUCAUCAGAAUUGACUGUGCCUGCAAUUUCAAAAAUG